AACGAACGCUGGCGGCAUGCCUAACACAUGCAAGUCGAACGAGACCUUCGGGUCUAGUGGCGCACGGGUGCGUAACGCGUGGGAAUCUGCCCUCUGGUUCGGAACAACAGUUGGAAACGACUGCUAAUACCGGAUAAUGACUUCGGUCCAAAGAUUUAUCGCCUGAGGAUAGAGCCCGCGUAGGAUUAGCUUGUUGGUGAGGUAAAAGCUCACCAAGGCGAAGAUCCUUAGCUGGUCUGAGAGGAUGAUCAGCCACACUGGGACUGAGACACGGCCCAAACUCCUACGGGAGGCAGCAGUGGGGAAUAUUGGACAAUGGGCAAAAGCCUGAUCCAGCAAUGCCGCGUGAGUGAUGAAGGCCUUAGGGUUGUAAAGCUCUUUUACCCGGGAUGAUAAUGACAGUACCGGGAGAAUAAGCCCCGGCUAACUCCGUGCCAGCAGCCGCCGUAAAAC
rnacentral:rRNA from 1 species